UUAUGUGAGGGCAAUCUGGCUGAGACAUCUGUCAAUGAGCUGAUCACCAGGGUUUAUUCAGCUGAUCUGGCUGGCAAGGGGGGUUUCCCCUUCCUCCCUCACUACUCCAUGUGCUUCUCUCCAGAAGCUGCACUCUAGGUCAAGAGGACGGCUUUCCCGAACAGAGACGGACCAACAACGGGUCUUCAGUCCAGGGUAUAAGAGUAGCAGCACUCCCCUGCUAGAACCUCCAAACAAGCUUUCAAAAUCUUGGUCAGUUAAUUGAUGGCCCUGGUGGACAUAAGACUAGUGUCCUUCUGCAGGAAUACAUAUGCAUUUUGGACUGUGCAAAUGUUUGUCUAAUUCU
ensembl:misc_RNA 7SK 7SK RNA